rnacentral:rRNA from 1 species
UACGAAGGGUGCAAACGUUGCUCGGAAUUAUUGGGCGUAAAGCGCACGUAGGCGGCUUAGCAAGUCGGAAGUGAAAGCCCUCGGCUCAACCAAGGAAGUGCUUUCGAAACUGCUGAGCUUGAGUACUUAAGAGGAUCGCGGAAUUCCCGGUGUAGAGGUGAAAUUCGUAGAUAUUCGGAAGAACACCAGUGGCGAAGGCGACUUACUGGACACAUAUUGACGCUGAGGUGCGAAAGCGUGGGGAGCAAACAGGG